UCAUGUUGUUUAAUUCGAUGAUACGCGAAGAACCUUACCAGGUCUUGACAUCCCUUGCAAAGCUAUGGAGACAUAGUGGAGGUUAGUCAAGGAGACAGGUGGUGCAUGGUUGUCGUCAGCUCGUGUCGUGAGAUGUUGGGUUAAGUCCCGCAACGAGCGCAACCCUUAUUGCUAGUUACCAUCAUUAAGUUGGGGACUCUAGCGAGACUGCCAGUGAUAAACUGGAGGAAGGUGGGGAUGACGUCAAAUCAUCAUGCCCCUUAUGACCUGGGCUACAAACGUGAUACAAUGGCUGAAACAAAGGGCAGCGAAGCAGUGAUGUGGAGCGAAACCCAAAAAAGCAGUCUCAGUUCGGAUUGAAGUCUGCAACUCGACUUCAUGAAGUUGGAAUCGCUAGUAAUCGUAGAUCAGAACGCUACGGUGAAUACGUUCUCGGGGUUU
rnacentral:rRNA from 1 species